GAUGAACGCUGGCGGCGUGCCUAAUACAUGCAAGUCGAGCGAACAGACGAGGAGCUUGCUCCUCUGACGUUAGCGGCGGACGGGUGAGUAACACGUGGAUAACCUACCUAUAAGACUGGGAUAACUUCGGGAAACCGGAGCUAAUACCGGAUAAUAUAUUGAACCGCAUGGUUCAAUAGUGAAAGACGGUUUUGCUGUCACUUAUAGAUGGAUCCGCGCCGCAUUAGCUAGUUGGUAAGGUAACGGCUUACCAAGGCAACGAUGCGUAGCCGACCUGAGAGGGUAAUCAGCCACACUGGAACUGAGACACGGUCCAGACUCCUACGGGAGGCAGCAGUAGGGAAUCUUCCGCAAUGGGCGAAAGCCUGACGGAGCAACGCCGCGUGAGUGAUGAAGGUCUUCGGAUCGUAGAACUCUGUUAUUAGGGAAGAACAAAUGUGUAAGUAACUAUGCACGUCUUGACGGUACCUAAUCAGAAAGCCACGGCUAACUACGUG
rnacentral:rRNA from 1 species